GAAUGCAAGGCAGACGGCUCAGUAACGCGUAGUCAACCUAACCUAUGGACGGGAAUAACCUCGGGAAACUGAGAAUAAUGCCCGAUAGAACACUAUGCCUGGAAUGGUUUGUGUUCCAAAUGAUUUAUCGCCGUAGGAUGGGACUGCGGCCUAUCAGUUUGUUGGUGAGGUAAUGGCCCACCAAGACUAUUACAGGUACGGGCUCUGAGAGGAGUAGCCCGGAGAUGGGUACUGAGACACGGACCCAGGCCCUAUGGGGCGCAGCAGGCGAGAAAACUUUGCAAUGUGCGAAAGCACGACAAGGUUAAUCCGAGUGGUUCCUGCUAAAGGAACCUUUUGUCGGUCCUAGAAACACCGAUGAAUAAGGGGUGGGCAAGUUCUGGUGUCAGCCGCCGCGGUAAAACCAGCACCUCAAGUGGUCAGGAUGAUUAUUGGGCCUAAAGCAUCCGUAGCCGGCGCUAUAAGUUUUCGGUUAAAUCUGUACGCUCAACGUACAGGCUGCCGGGAAUACUGCAGCGCUAGGGAGUGAGAGAGGUAGACGGUACUCGGUAGGAAGAGGUAAAAUUCUUUGAUCUAUUGAUGACCACCUGUGGCGAAGGCGGUCUACCAGAACACGUCCGACGGUGAGGGAUGAAAGCUGGGGGAGCAAACCGGAUUAGAUACCCGGGUAGUCCCAGCUGUAAACUAUGCAAACUCAGUGAUGCGUUGACUUUUACUUUAAUGCANNGNUGCAGGGAAGUCGUUAAGUUUGCCGCCUGGGAAGUACNUACNCAAGUAUGAAACUUAAAGGAAUUGNCGGGGGAGCNCCACAAGGGNGUGAG
rnacentral:rRNA from 1 species